rnacentral:rRNA from 1 species
UUCCCUACGGGGGGCAGCAGUAGGGAAUCUUCCACAAUGGACGAAAGUCUGAUGGAGCAACGCCGCGUGAGUGAAGAAGGGUUUCGGCUCGUAAAACCCUGUUGUUAGAGAAGAAAGUGCGUGAGAGUAACUGUUCACGUUUCGACGGUAUCUAACCAGAAAGCCACGGCUAACUACGUGCCAGCAGCCGCGGUAAUACGUAGGUGGCAAGCGUUAUCCGGAUUUCUUGGGCGUAAAGGGAACGCAGGCGGUCUUUUAAGUCUGAUGUGAAAACCUUCGGCUUAACCGGAGUAGUGCAUUGGAAA